AUUCCUUUCUUUUCUUUUCUAUAGCGAUUCGUAAUUCAGGCAAAAUAUUGAUAAAAUCAGGAAGGAAGUUCACAAUGUUCGCACAAGAUCUCGUCGAAUCAGAUGAGGCUUUUGACAUAUUGAUUGAUGAAGUUCUGGGCGAAAACGAUUUCAGUGAAACAAGUUCUGUGACUGAACCUUCGUUGGAUCCUGACCCAGUUAACACCAUGCUCACACCCUUGACUAAACCAGCGAAGAAGAAGCGAAGAUCAACUAAACGUACAACGAACAAUCCUAAGUUUAUGCCAGCUAUACGAAUCUUUCGCCGAGAUAUUCGAAGGAAAUAUGCUGAAAUGUUGAAUAAUGUAUUGAACAGCUAU
rnacentral:ribozyme from 1 species